AGGCGGGUAGCUCAGAUGGUGAGAGCAGCGGUCUUAUAAGCCGCCGGUCGUGGGUUCGAGUCCCACCCUGCCUA
rnacentral:tRNA from 1 species